rnacentral:rRNA from 1 species
UACGUAGGGUGCGAGCGUUAAUCGGAAUUACUGGGCGUAAAGCGUGCGCAGGCGGUUCGUUGUGUCUGAUGUGAAAGCCCCGGGCUCAACCUGGGAAUGGCAUUGGAAACUGGCGAGCUGGAGUGUGGCAGAGGGGGGUGGAAUUCCGCGUGUAGCAGUGAAAUGCGUAGAGAUGCGGAGGAACACCGAUGGCGAAGGCAGCCCCCUGGGCCAACACUGACGCUCAUGCACGAAAGCGUGGGGAGCAAACAGG